CCCGCUGAACUUAAGCAUAUCAAUAAGCGGAGGAAAAGAAACCAACAGGGAUUGCCUCAGUAACGGCGAGUGAAGCGGCAAAAGCUCAAAUUUGAAAUCUGGCUUCCAGUUGUGGAGCCCGAGUUGUAAUUUGCAGAGGAUGCUUCGGGUGCGGCUGCGGUUUAAGUCCCCUGGAACGGGGCAUCAUAGAGGGUGAGAAUCCCGUCUGGGACCGCCAGCCCUGCCCGUGUGAAGCUCCUUCGACGAGUCGAGUUGUUUGGGAAUGCAGCUCUAAAUGGGUGGUAAAUUUCUUCUAAAGCUAAAUACCGGCCAGAGACCGAUAGCGCACAAGUAGAGUGAUCGAAAGAUGAAAAGCACUUUGGAAAGAGAGUCAAAAAGUACGUGAAAUUGUUGAAAGGGAAGCGCUUGCAACCAGACCUGCCUGCAGCUGCUCAUCCGGGCUUUUGCCCGGUGCACUCUUCUGCUGUCAGGCCAGCAUCAGUUCGGGCGGUCAGAUAAAGGCUUCGGGAAUGUAGCUCCUUUCGGGGAGUGUUAUAGCCCGUUGCGAAACGCGGCCAGCCUGGACUGAGGUCCGCGCUUCGGCUAGGAUGCUGGCGUAAUGGUUGUAAGCGGCCCGUCUUGAAACACGG
rnacentral:rRNA from 1 species